rnacentral:rRNA from 1 species
ACGAACGCUGGCGGCGUGCUUAACACAUGCAAGUCGAGGGCGGUAGCAAUACCGACCGGCGAACGGGUGCGUAACACGUAAGCAACUUACCCUUUUGUGGGGGAUAGCCGGCCCAACGGCCGGGUAAUACCGCAUAUGCUAACAGGUACUCAUGUACUAGUUAGGAAAGCUUUAGCGCAGAGGGAGGGGCUUGCGGCCUAUCAGCUAGUUGGCGAGGGGGGUAACGGCUCACCAAGGCUACGACGGGUAGCUGGUCUGAGAGGAUGGCCAGCCACAUUGGGACUGAGAAACGGCCCCAGACUCCUACGGGAGGCAGCAGUGGGGAAUAUUGCGCAAUGGCCUAACGGCUGACGCAGCGACGCCGCGUGCGGGGAUGACGCCCUUCGGGUGUGUAAACCGCUGUUGCCCGGGACGAACUACUGGAUUUCUCCAGUUUGACGGUACCGGGUGAGGAAGCACCGGCUAACUCUGUGCCAGCAGCCGCGGUAAUACAGAGGGUGCAAGCGUUGUCCGGAAUCACUGGGCGUAAAGGGCGCGUAGGUGGUUUGGUAAGUGUGUGGUGAAAGCCCGGGGCUCAACCCCGGGUCUGCCGCGCAAACUGCUGAACUUGAGCAUACUAGAGGCAGAUUGAAUUCCGGGUGUAGCGGUGGAAUGCGUAGAGAUCCGGAAGAACACCGGUGGCGAAGGCGGCCUGCUGGGGUAGAGCUGACACUGAGGCGCGACAGCGUGGGAGCAAACAGGAUUAGAUACCCUGGUAGUCCACGCCGUAAACGAUGGGUACUAGGUGCUUGGGGGAGCGACCCCUUGAGUGCCGGCGCUAACGCAUGAAGUACCCCGCCUGGGGAGUACGGCCGCAAGGCUGAAACUCAAGGGAAUUGACGGGGGCCCGCACAAGCGGUGGAGCAUGUGGUUUAAUUCGACGCAACGCGAAGAACCUACCUAGGCUUGACAUGCAGAUGAAACCCUUCCGAAAUGAGGGGCCUCCUUCGGGACAUCUGCACAGGUGCUGCAUGGCUGUCGUCAGCUCGUGUCGUGAGAUGUUGGGUUAAGUCCCGCAACGAGCGCAACCCCUGUUCCUAGUUGCCAGCGAGUAAAGUCGGGGACUCUAGGGAGACUGCCGGUGCCAAACCGGAGGAAGGUGGGGACGACGUCAAGUCAUCAUGGUCCUUACGUCUAGGGCUACACACGUGCUACAAUGGACGGAACAAAGGGGGCCUAGCCGGCAACGGUAUGGUAAUCCCAAAAUCUGUCCUCAGUUCGGAUUGUGGUCUGCAACUCGACCACAUGAAGCUGGAAUCGCUAGUAAUCGUGGAUCAGCUACGCCACGGUGAAUACGUUCCCGGGCCUUGUACACACCGCCCGUCACGCCAUGGAAGCUGUGAGUGCCCGAAGUCCGUGCAGAAACCCGCAAGGGAUCAAGCGGCCUAAGGCAAGCGCAGUGACUGGGGCG